AGGAAAUUUAGAUAAACUAAAAUAGAAUAGGAGGAUAUAAACUAGAUAGAAAAAAUAAAUCUUAAAUGAAGUAGGAAACAAAUAAAUCCUAAAUAGAGUAGAAAAGCUUCCUAAAUUAAUUCUAAUUAAUUUCUGCAACUGUGUAGUCAAUAGGGUUGUGUACGAUUCUUGAGGGUCUCGAACCGUACUGAACCAAAGGAACUGUACUGAAUCGAAGUUAUUUUGAUACUUCGGUUUGGUCUUGUUCUUCACUAAGAAUCGAACCGGAAUCGGAAUUAAAUUGUGAACCGAAUUUAUAUUUAUAUUUUUAGAUGUAUUAUAUACUU
rnacentral:misc_RNA from 1 species